GAUUACAACAUCUGCAGAACAGUCAUACAGUUAUUACAGUGGAAAUGAUGGAACUGAUAAAGAUCCACAGGCUUCUGGAGCAUAUGUCUUUCGUCCAAAUGGCACAUUUCCAAUCAAAUCCGAUAGCCAGGCUUCUCUAACUAUGGUUCGAGGUCCGGUACUGGAUGAAGUACACCAACGGCUCAAUCCAUGGAUAUCUUAGAUUGAUGUAGGCAUUGGAUCUUCAUCAUUUACAAAAUCACAGGGCCCGAAAUGACUCAUUGAUAGUGGAUGUUUGCCAGGGUCAAUAUAAGUCGACACUGGUUUGCCCAGCAUGUGGAAAGAUUUCAAUCACUUUUGAUCCCUUCAUGUAUUUGUCGUUGCCGCUACCUUCAACUGCAACUCGGCAAAUAACCGUGACUGUGUUUUACGGCGAUGGAAGUGGUCUUCCUAUGCUAUACACUGUUAGUUUGCUAAAGCAAGGUUGCUGUAAAGAUCUUAGUGAACAACUAAGUACUGCUUGUUGCUUGAAUGUUGAUGAGAUUCUUCUGCUUGCAGAGGUAAAUUUGGUUUCCA